UGAUAUGUUCGUAGUGUAACGAACAGUAUAAUCAAAAGAAAUACACAAAAAGA
rnacentral:sRNA from 24 species